CAGUAGCCGCGGUAAUACGAAGGGGGCUAGCGUUGCUCGGAAUGACUGGGCGUAAAGGGCGCGUAGGCGGAUGGCACAGUCAGAUGUGAAAUUCCCGGGCUUAACCUGGGGGCUGCAUUUGAUACGUGUUGUCUAGAGUGAGGAAGAGGGUCGUGGAAUUCCCAGUGUAGAGGUGAAAUUCGUAGAUAUUGGGAAGAACACCGGUGGCGAAGGCGGCGACCUGGUCCUUUACUGACGCUGAGGCGCGAAAGCGUGAGGAGCAAACAGGAUUAGAUACCCCGGUAGUCCCUGUCUCUUAUAC
rnacentral:rRNA from 1 species